rnacentral:rRNA from 1 species
UACGGGGGGGGCAAGCGUUGUUCGGAAUUACUGGGCGUAAAGGGCUCGUAGGCGGCCAACUAAGUCAGACGUGAAAUCCCCAGGCUUAACCUGGGAACUGCGUCUGAUACUGGAUGGCUUGAAUUCGGGAGAGGGAUGCAGAAUUCCAGGUGUAGCGGUGAAAUGCGUAGAUAUCUGGAGGGACACCGGUGGCGAAGGCGGCAUCCUGGACCAACACUGACGCUGAGGAGCGAAAGCCAGGGGAGCAAACGGG